GCAGGACGCAGACAGACCCGACUCGUUUCACAGAGCAGCGCAGGAGGACGACAGACACUUAAAGAACAUUAACAGUUUAGUUUGAAUCUCUCUCAGUCAGUCAGGGGGAGAUUAACUGACAGACUGUAUAACGUUACACGUCUUACCAAGAAACCUUUUAAAGUUUAGCACAAAUGUUUCCCGUGGAAGUUUGAAUCUCUCUCAGUCAGGGGGGAGAUUGACUGACAGACUGUCUACUUGCCACCAAACAGUAAUUUACCCUGAAACCUUUUUAAGUAAGGACUAACGUAAACUGACUCUCUGUCUGCUCUCAACCAAACAGUCAUUUAAGACCUUCUAAAGCUUAGCGCAAACGUUUCCUGCGCAAGUUUGAAUCUCUCAGUCAGGGGGGAGAUUGACUGACUGACUGACUGUCUACUCGCCACCAAACGUCAAAAGUCAGUUACACAGAAUCCUUUUAAAGUUUAGCACAAACGUUUCCCGCGCAAGUUUGGAUCUUUACCAUUGAGGCUGGCUGACUGUUCUCGACCAACCAUCAUUCACACGCAAAAACUUUAAAGCUCACGUAACACACGCUGUUUCUGCAUUUCUGAUAUUAAUCUGGAGUACCUAUGGAGUAGUAUGACAUCCUUUAUAUCUCUGAAGAGUCUUUAGUUUAAUCAGAUUUAUAAAAGAAAGAUUAGCUUUACCGAAUCUUUCCGAUAACGUACGAAAAAAUGAAGAAGGAGGAGUUAUAACACGGGAGGAGCGAGUACGAGUCAUGCAACACUAUACAACACUGUUUUAACUUAUGAUUCACUACAUGUUCGUGUCAUUUAUAUAAUAUACACGCGCCUAUUUCCAACAUAAUACAGAAGUCUUACUUACCGCGUGUAACUCGUCAUGAAAAUCCACCGCAUCAAACACACACACGCAAAACUCCGCUGCUAAUCCGGAUAAUAAACUAUAUCCAUUGUUUCCAUAAGGCUGGAUGUCUUCUCCUUACAUCCAAAAACACACUUCUUGUUGUGCCAUUGUUGACUUUUGAAAUUAAACAAAGCUGAGUGGCGUGAUAAGCUGUUAGCAAGCUCUAGCGUCUCCCGCUGACUGACGGCUGGGCGGGGUUUUCCAGGGGAAGUUUUCCGGCGGAAGCCCAUAUAAAGAAGUGAUACGUAUCGAAAACCCCUGAAACGUCAGUUAGAACCGUAAUCGAAAAAAAUUAGCCGAAACUUGUACGAACCCUGGCGAAGUGCAUUCGGCACAGAAAUACUCUGAAACACGCCCAACUGCAUUUUUGACACUUUGCCUACAUUUAGCAUGAGGAAACAACUCUAUAACUGUGUUAAUAAGUCAGAAUGCUUGAAAUACCAUUAAACCCCCCCUUUAAAGGUACCACAUUUAUUUAUGUUGUGAGUAUACCACAGUUCUGUCAGUGGAAAAUGUAUUCAUAUUUUUGUGUUUUCUCACAGAUAAGUAUGAACGUGCCCAGAGCAGUUUUCGAUCUUUACCAUUAAGGAGGCUGACUGACUAUCGUCUACCACCCGUCAUUAACACAACAAAAACUAAAGAAAUGUUACUCCAUAUGGACCUAUUCAUUUACUCAUUAUGCUGUGAGUACACCACAGUUUUAUCAGGGAAAAAAUUUAUAUUUGUGUGUUUCUCACUGCUUGGCAAGGACAGAUGUGGCCCUGUUAAAAAUGUUUAAAUGUCGUUUGGUUUAAGGAACAGCACACUGAUUUUGUUUUAAAAUAUUCCUGUUUGGACAGUCUGUUAAAGCCAUAAAGGAAUACUUGAUAUAUUUCAUAAGUAAAGUGUAAAUGUAAUAUUAGUUUUUAAUGUUGUGAAUUUGGACUGAACAGCACACUUCUGUUUUAUAUCUAAACCUUUUGUAAAAUAAAUGAUUGUUCAAUAAACUGUGUAUUUUA